AGUAGUAAAGCAGGCGUCACACUUGUUGCAAAGUGCAGAGGCCAGCUUUACCAACAGAAAACUAGCCACCUGCCAGAAUUUUUUGUCUAAAAAUUGCUUGACAUAUGGCGGGUAAACGUGGUGGGUAUGUAGGGCUUUACCGUAUGUGAAGAGGUCUUAAGGCAAAAAAAAAAUCCAGCAGGCUGCUAUUUUUCUGUUGGUAAAACUUGCCUCUGGUGUCGUGCAAGGUAAAGAUAGAUGUGCUGAAAUUAAAGAGUAAAUGAACAGUUUUUGAAACUGGGCUUGUCACCUACCUACCUGAACUGGCCAAGUUGAAAUUAUGGGUACCUAGCAACUUGCAUCUCUUACUUACAGCUUCUCGAGAUUUUGUCAGGCCAACUAGGCCUGUGGGUUUCGUUCUGACCAAGCUCAUGAGCCCAAGAUGGUUAGAAACGUCUAUGCAAAGUUUGUUGCCAGAACAGUGCUGGUCAAAAAUGGUCAGGUUGAUGAUGCCAUGAAACUUCUGAACAGACUCCUGGGACAGGAAGGUUUCCUGGAGCAGUACCGGAGGACGAGGUACUACGAAAAACCGUCGCAGUUCCGAAGACGGAUCAACUUCGAAAAAUGCAAGGCGAUACACAAUGAAGACAUGGACCGGAAACUGCAGUUUUUGAUGAGGAAAAAUCGGCUCACACCUUGGGUUGGCUGUGAAUGAAUGGCUAUGCGGUGUCAUAUGUCUCAAUGCUUGUUAUACCUAUGUAGAAUGAUUAUGUGUCAACUUGGUUUCAUAAACAUGUCGUGAAAACA